rnacentral:rRNA from 1 species
UAAAAAUGUAAAUUUUAUGCUGGGGUAGUAAUAGUUAUAAUCUUGAAACUUAAAAAAUUUGGCGGUAUUUUAGUCUAUUCAGAGGAACCUGUUCUAUAAUCGAUAUUCCACGAUGGACCUCUCUUAAAUUUGUAUAUCAGUUUAUAUACCGUCGUUAUCAGAAGAUUUUAAAAGAAAUUUAAUUUUCAAUAAUUUUUAUAAAAAUUAAUAUCAGAUCAAGGUGUAGCUUAUAUUUAAGAAGAAAUGGGUUACAAUUAAUAUAUUAAUGGAUUUAUUUAUGAAAAAGAUAAUGAAAUUGGAUUUGAUAGUAAAAUUUUAAAGAAAAAAAAUUUGAUUUUAGCUCUAAAAUAUGCAC